rnacentral:rRNA from 1 species
UACGGGGGGGCAAGCGUUGUUCGGAAUUACUGGGCGUAAAGGGCUCGUAGGCGGCCAACUAAGUCGGACGUGAAAUCCCCAGGCUCAACCUGGGAACUGCGUCCGAUACUGGAUGGCUUGAAUCCGGGAGAGGGAUGCAGAAUUCCAGGUGUAGCGGUGAAAUGCGUAGAUAUCUGGAGGAAUACCGGUGGCGAAGGCGGCAUCCUGGACCGGCAUUGACGCUGAUGAGCGAAAGCCAGGGGAGCAAACGGG